GGGCGGGUAGCUCAGUUGGUAGAGCAGUGCCCUUACAAGGCAAAGGUCGCAGGUUCGAAUCCUGUCCCGCCCACCA
rnacentral:tRNA from 1 species